GGGACUACAGGCGCCCGCCACCACGCCCGGCUAAUUUUUUGUAUUUUUAGUAGAGAUGGGGUUUCACCGUGUUAGCCAGGAUGGUCUCCAUCUCCUGACCUCAUGAUCCACCCGCCUCGGCCUUCCAAAGUGCUCGGAUUACAGGCGGUCAGGAGGGCAUCUUUCUCGGCUCUUCACUGUGAGAACCUUGUGGGAUUCCUGAAGAUGAAACCAUGAACGCGAGGGAGUCUUGCUAAAACUGCAGCAUUCGAGAGGUUUUCACUCAUGCUGGCUCACACUUGUCCUCUAGCAAUUCAUCAAAAUUACCACGACAAAGAAGACAGAAAAUACUACACACUACCCAGAGAUUGAAACUGAAGGUGUGAACAACAGAGAAAAGAGAGGGCAAAGAAAAGGAAAACAAAGAAGACGUGGGAUAUGAAAGGUGUAUGCCAUGUGUGGACAUCAAGAAAUGUUUCAGCUCGCACUUCUGCCACCAAUUGAGCCUGGAACCUCACUACUUGGAGUUGGGGGGAGGGCAGUGCUCAUUCAUCACCUGUGAAAAUAGGGAUUGAGAGUUCCCUAACUUUGCCAUUUUUCCUCAAGCACUGGCAUUGGUCUUCUGAAUGUCAGGCUCUGUAUAAGUGAGUCCUCAGCUGAGCCACAGGCUCUGCAUUCCUGGCAGUCCACACACUUCAUAUCCUUUGUUUAUGCUGCUCAUUUUGGAAUUCAAACAGGUUGGUGGGGCACAUUUCAACAGAUAAUGACACACACUGACUGCUCAUGAGCUAUUUUAUGGUGUGAGAAUGUUGUGAUGUUAUGAAAUGCGGAGGCAUUAAAACAUGGGGACAUUUUCUAGAAGAUCCUUAGCAGAGAGUACAGAAGACUAAGGUCCAAAUCUCUGAAAUGAUGUUUUCCAAAUUAUUGCACAGCUAUGUCAAAGUACCUUGAUCCAGUUAAUGUUAACAAAUAAAAAAUUAUGAAAUGU
ensembl:lncRNA LINC01446 long intergenic non-protein coding RNA 1446